GUGUCUUUAAUGUGAAUAGAGGUGCUAUGUCAGUCAAGUUGGGAGGUUAUCCGAUACGUCGGACAUUAACUUAUUAAGUUUGUAAUUUCCAAACUGUGCUAUUUAUAAGAUGUCCGUCUGUCGUAUCGUAGACCAGCAGUGCAGUUAAUAGUUAUCCUUGAUCAAUUUGUCUGUCGUCUCAAUUGCGAAUCGUUCAGUGGAAAAAGUGUAAGGGUGGACAUUGUGGUAGGACACGGAUCGCAGUCAUAUAACACGACAAGCCUUCGAAUACAUUCCUUGUAUUACAGAGAUUUGUAGUACAGAGUGUCGUGUUAUUUUCAUCAAGAUUAUUGCUGCUUGUAAUUUUAUAUUGCCGCAUUUGCUCCAGUCACUCGACGAUAUACAUAUUUAUUCAAAGUGACGCAACAAUAUCUUCCUCCAACAUCCACCCUGUGAAAUGAGUGUUUUCACAGCUGGAUAGGCUAUCGGUGAGUCUUGGCAUGCAUUCCCAGGGAGACGGAAAUACUUUGUCAAACGAUGCGCAACAAACGAGAAGGAUCACUCGCGUUGUCUAUACCACGCCAAUUACAAUGAUGCGACAAAAGCGUUCGAAAAUGCAUUUUAAGAACGAUUGCCGCUCAAAUAUCCGCAUUCGCUUAUGCGGAAUCGACAGAAGUUGCAAUGCUUUUUCUUCAUAGUGAACUAGUGCCAAUGCGAUCGCCCCAGAUAAUCACGUAACAACGAUAGACCACAUAAUAACGAUGAGUGCGGAAGUAAUUGUCUUGAAGUGAUGUAGUCAGCUGUCACUAAGGUUUCAAAAAGCGCAAACGAAGCUGAAUUUUCGUAUUAGUGGGUGUGGCUUCGGCUCCAACAUGCCAACAAUCAAUUGGAACAAGAAUCGCUAGAUGGUUCUUGGAAAUGAUGGGAUUCCAUUAUUCAGCGCGAUCUGUAUUGACUGAAUUCUUUCAUAAUAAAACCCCACCGAUAAUAAUCCAGGGAGAACAAUUUGACCUGAAAUGGGUCAAAAAAUUAUAGUAUGCACAGGGACGUGCCAUUCUUCAUUUAAAUAUUAAUUUUCCUUUGUUAAAUAUUGAACCUGCUUAAGAACCUUAAUGCAUGUUUUUUAUCAUUUACUUCGGCCAUAAUUUAUCAGAUUCAGAAACAAAUAUUAUGCACAAGUUUUAUC
rnacentral:misc_RNA from 1 species